GGAGGAGUUUGUGAAGCUCCUCCACCUCCUGAUGGCUCAUUUCUCUGCAUGGUAAAGGAUCCAGAGGAGGUUUAUCUAAGCUCUGGGUGUGUUAAAGGUGAAUUCUGUUCUGUGCAGGUCUUUGAGAGCGUCAUGUUCACCCGCUCUGGAAAUAAAUCCCUGCUCACGCUGUGUGUGUCGGAUGCAGUUUUCUCUUCUGUGCCGUAAUCAGCUGAAUUGUGAGAAUAAUGACAGAGUGGAGUAUUUCUGGCCUCCUGCCUUUGCACGCAGUGAGGGUCCGUUUGUGUUGGAUGGGAGUUAAUGGUGAGGGGCUCCUGUGGAUUCUUACCCCGAGGGCGAGUUAGAACCAGUCAGCGAGCUCUCUGCGCAGUUUGGCGCAGCUUUUUGGGUGAUUGUGAGAGUGUGUUUGUUUGCAGAGAGAAAGAGGAGCUGUGUGUGUGCAUGCAUGUGUGGUUUUUAAUAGUCUAAUUCCCACAGAAGGGGGAGAGAGGGGGGAGGCAGGGGGAGAUAAAGCUCUGUGAGAUGGUUUUCCUGCAGCACCAGAACCUGAUCCUCUGCAGGGAGAAUUUUCCGGAGCACAGAUCUCCUGAGCUGCUCUGUUUUCACUACUGGCCUGAAUCCCCCUGUUGUUUAUAGUGACAGCUCUUUGAUUGACAGGUAUGCAGUGAGUCAAAGCUGCGCAUGUGUGUGCACGUUUUAAAGGAAUGGUUUGGAUAUUUCAAAGGGGGGUACAUGAGGGUCCUAUCAACACUUUUGUUGUCUCUUUGCUACUGUGAAAAACAAACGUUUGGAGAAGAAGCAGAACGUUAAAUCAAAGUCUGUUCAUUCAAUGUCUGUACAUGUAUGAAACAUUUGUGGAAAUGAAAAAGGACAUAAUUACCAAUACAUGAUUAACAAAAAAUAAUACUUUCUGCACACAGCUCGUGUUGUAGAUUUGUAAUAAGAUCACAUUACUAGAAGCACCUUACUGUACCUUAACAGGGACCUUCAGAGGGCACUUUACUUUUAGUGAAGAGACAUACAGAUGGCAUGUUUUUUAACCUUGAAGGGAUAUUCUGGCAUAAAAUUAGGUUAGGGUCAAACACACCAUAACACAGAGACACCCCCUCAAGAGAUGAAUGUUGCUGACCGCUUGCUUGAUGACAAUAGCAAUACACAGCGGUCUGAGGAGCCAUAAACAAACCUCAACCAAAAAGCCACUCUAUAGCCACAAAUAAUGCUCAGAACAGCACCUAACUUCAUCAACAGUACAUGUAGAGUCCCAGCCACAGUACUAGCCACCAAACAUAUCAUAAAUGUUCCUCCUUGAGCUGCAUCACCCCACUGCAGUCGGUUAUGGACUAGUCUGAGGUCUCCGUACGAACAAGCGGCUACUGGAAGAGAGUAGGUGAGUUGUGUUUAGUCUCUUUGCUAAAGAAAUUAGUCAAAGUUAAAAAGAUAUUUGGUGGCUAGUGCUAUGACUGGGACCCUAUAUGUACUGUUGAUGAAGUUAGGUGCUGUUCUGAGCAUUAUUUGUAGCUACAGAGUGGCGUUUUGGUUGAGGUUUGUUUAUGGCUCCUCAAACCGCUGUGUAUUGCUAUCCUGCAGUCACUACUUAAGUUGGUAUAACUAGAGAAGCAAGCGGUCGGCAACAUUCAUCUGUCAAGGGGGCGUCUAACUCGGUGUUACGGUGUGUUUGACUCUAACUUAAUUUUACGCCGGAAUAUCCCUUUAAAUAGACUAAGACAGCAAUUAGAUGGCAUAUCUUUGCAUUUCAGCCUGAGUAACAUUACCAUAUAUGUUAUUGUAAAGUUACUCCGAAGGCACUUUUCUAUGUUUUAUACAAUAAAGUGCAUGCAAAGGAAAAAUGUCCUCUGGAAAAGCAUCCAGAGGACAUUUUUCCAUGUUUUAUACACUGGUAAUGCACCGAGAAGGCACUUUCAAGCCACUGGAGGGGUUUGCAGAGGGUGCCUUUUUACAUUUGAUGUAAUGGCACUUGUUUGCAUCUUAGCUGCUGUGAGAGUUUUUACACUUUUAAAUUCAGGAAGGCCAUUAGUAAAAAGUACUUUAUCUACUGAGUGUGCAUCCGGGGUACACAAAAGGCAAUUAAAAGGCAAACCUAAAGAAGUUCAAAGACAUAAAAAGAAGAAAAAAGAGCUACUAUUUGCUAUCUUAUUAAACAGAAAGAGUUAGAGACCCCUUAAAUAAUGUUAAUGGUAUUGGCUUUAGGUUUAUCGUCAUAGUUAAGCAUUUCAGAUCGUUUUGACAGCUCUCUGUUCUUCUAAAUGAACAUCACUUCUAUUUUUAACAAGAGGAAGAACAGACAGUUGUAUUAAAUCCUUCAGAAAGAAACAGAGACAUCCCUUAUGUCGUGGGGAGCUCACUAACACCCCGAAUGCUUCAUUUCUUCCCGUCUGAUGAGUGUGAUGAUCCCAGAGACUCAUUAGCAUUUCACAGCUGAGAUCCAAACAGACAUGUCUCGGAGUGUCCUCGUCCUCGUCUUUGCAAACUUUCAACCCCUUCGCUGCUCUCUGUCACCUGCUGCAUGAAGGCAGAGUCACCUUUUCUGUUUGUUUGUUUGUUUACUCUCCGUUUAAAAAAAAAAGAGAUUUAAAAGUCCAAAUCUCUCCGUCUGCACCAUCUGCUUCCUCUUUUUGUUCCUGUUUUUGUGUGCAUGUUUUUCUUGAUUCUGUUUGUCUUUUAAUGAAGGUUUCCAUUAAGUUUUCUGCAUGACUCAUUACACAAUCAUGUCCCCACAAAUAUCAGCAUUAAUCUGCUAAUGAAAAUGCACAUUAGCUCUGGCUUGGUGCUUUGUGAUCAGGACAAAUUAAGAGUGUUUGUGCUCGUGUAUUUUUCUAUCAGUGUUUACUUUUGAAGUUUUGCAAGACAACUGAGUUCUUGUAAAUUUUCUUGGAGCUUUUAAAAAUUGGAGAAAAAAGUGGGUUAUAAGUCUGCUUUGGGUUUAAAUUACCACCGAUUUAAAAUCACUGGAUAACAAAUGGAGAGGAAACUGGUUGAACUUUUGCCUUUUUAAUCUCAGUCUCGAAGUUACACAACAUCAGCUGCCUCAUGAUCACCACAGGGUGCAAUUUAACUGGAUACGCUGUCUUAAAAAAUGCUGCAAAGGACAAGUAAGUGGAGCAUCAAAUGUCAGGUUGAAUUUCUGGAUCGCCCCGAGUAUGACAGGGGCUGACUGAGACAAACGCACAGCAACAAAACAAAAGAUUUUCCUUUAAAGAAGCAGCCUGCAAAUCCUGAAAUACGCAAAAUAAACAACAGACAUGUCAUGCGAUUAUAUUUUAAAACUGUUCUGUAUGAAGUCAAAACAAACGCAGUCAAAAUUUCUGCAACAGCAUAAAUGACAUAAAUUCAAAAACUCAAUAGCCAUAUUUACAUGUGCAAAAUUUCUUGAUUCAAUUAAAAAUUUGAGGGAUCAGAUAAUCUGAAUCCAAUAUGAGUGCAAAAUUAAAUAAUCUGAUCAUGACGUGCGUAUACAUGCACCAAGCUUCAUUCAGGUUUGAAGCAUUUGGACAUGCACAGGGUUUUCACUAAAACAACCGCAGAAGAAGACUGUGCUGUCAACAAAUCAACGAACGCUGUAGUAGCUCACUCCAAUUUAGGAGUUUUACCCCUGUUAAAUGUUGUCACUAGAUGGCACCCUUGGGUGCUUAUUUUACUGUUCUGUCAAAGGUUGCUCUGUGCGUGCAGAUGUGACAUCAUUACGCUGUUUGUUAAUGUGUUAAUAAUGAAAUCUCCUGUACCUCAAUAAAUAAACCAAAGGCUAAAGAGUGAAGACCGGGUCAGGUUAGAGAGUCACGAUCGGAACAAGUGUUUACCUGGAUGCGUUUUGGAAGAACAAUCGGCAUAAACCACCCCUCUUGAUGGGAAUACAGUUUCUUUCCGAUUGAGCCAAAUUGGAUCAGAGUCUUCCAAUCGACAUGUUUACAUGACUCAUUUUUAUUCCGAUCAAUCGGGUAUUCCGAUUAUUUGUGCCCAUGUAAAUGCAGCUAAUGAUAAACUGACAGAAAAUUGCCUACCUUUUACCAAGCAUUAUAGGCAGUUUAAAGUUGUUUUGUUUCUUCUGUGGACAAAAGGAGCAUAACAAAAGAUCAACCCCUGCACGUCUCACUGCGUUUUGAGUUACAGCAAAUCCUUGGAUAAUGUCCAACAUUCAAUCUACAGCCGUGCCCCUUAUAAAGACCAGGAUCAUGAGCCUUACAAUUGAAUGAAGACUAUGAGGUUCACUAAAAUGUUUGCAAAUACCUCUGGUGCAAAGAGACAAUAUUUGCUCAGUAGUGAGGUUUGUGGAGCAUUAAACUCUUUGUGCUCUGUGAAUAAAGGCCUGCCUCUAAUACAAGCCUGAUUCAUAUAAAGGCCUGGUACCUCAGGCAGUAUAAGCAAAUGAAAGAUAUUUGGCACUCAGAUGGCACACUUGGCCUCACUACCUUUAGAAAGUACCACAACUUUAAAUUUGAGGUUGGAUCUUCUAUCAGUGUAAAACAACGCCCUCUAACUGUGAACAGAUUCCAAGGCUGGAGACUCACUGAGGUCUUCUAAUGGUUCCUGGUCUCUGGAGAAAGUUCUUGCAGUGGGAACACAGUUCUAGUCUUUACUUUGUGGACAAACAGCCUCUCCAAUUCAGCUGUAAAAGCAGCAUCAUUCCUGUUUCUAUGUAAAAGUAGAAUUAUUUUGAUGGUGUUGCUUUUUGUUGCCAGGAAACACAAUAAUUGCGGUGUUUACAGAAACCUUUCAGAACAAAGUGCACUUCAAUGAAAGCACAACAAGGCGGCCAGGAGUGUCAGGAUCUUAAGAAAGAGCGAGGAGAUGCCGCGAAUGAUGAAGUGAGCGGUGUCUGUGCGACUGAACGGUCUCACACUCAGGAGGGGAUAGUCAAAGAGUCAAACAGGUUUUUACUUUCUGUUAACCUGCAGGAGCAAAGUGACUGAGUUAGUGGAAGGAUGUUACACGACAGCUCAGUUAUGACUUCUGCUAGACCUCUGAAGAAAAACAACCACUUUAACUAAGCCUGUUGAAAUUACAAAUCUGACAUUUAGAAGCUGCUUAUGAAAACAGUAAACACGCUGAGUGAGAUUUCAGAGGGCUGAAAGCAAAACAAGCAAACGAAAGAGAAAACUGAGAAGUUCACGUAGCAGAAAUAGAUCUCAUGCAUUAAUUUAUAGAAGGGUUUUAUGGUGUCACAUGACCUGCAGUCAUUAUUCCCCAGUCUCCAAUCGGUGCUUUGGCUCCAGACCUCUGCACCUACGAUGACGCAUCCACCAUGCAAUAAAAACAGUUAAAGGUGAGAUAUGAAAUGAUAAAACACAGUCUUUAAAUUUGCAUUCUGAAAAGCUCGCUGCACAAAACAAACAUUAAAAACAGUAAAAUUAGUCCAUCAUGUAACCCGCUCUGCAGCAUGAUGACAGAAGACGGUGUCAGAGACCACCGAGUUUCCAAACCUCAAGAUUCAAGAUGUUUUAAGCACAGGGGUGCACUUGUUGAUGUGAGUUUUAUUCAUUUUAAAGACUUUGCAGAGGUCUGUGUUAAAAAUUCAAAAAAUUUGCAUUUGUAUUACCUGUGCCCUGAAGGGAUUUUUUACAGCAAUUUUGCAUAUUUUUAAUCAUCUCUCUCUUAAAAAGUAGAAACUCAAUCUCUGAUAACUUUCUUAAACCUGACCAAGUUGUCUUUGUACACAAAAGUCACCCAGCUUCAACCGUUUUACCCUGUUGUUUUAACUAAUGCGUAUCCAAAGCCUAAAAUGGUGUAAUUCUCUCCCUAUCAUCAUAAUUUACUGCUCCUUGUUAAAAAGCUACUUAAAGUGGAUAUUUAUUUGUACUCUUCUUUUUAAGCUCAGAAUCACCUAAUCAUAUUUUCAGGUAUUUACAUGGCCUGCAAACAAACACAAAGUCCUCAUAUUUCUCACUGCUACUAAUGACAAAUAUCUGGUUCAGCUAAAGCUCGACUUAAACAUCAGCAAGGGGACAUAAAAACAUUUGUUAUAUCAUUGAGUUUCAGCCCGAAGAUAUCCUGAGUUUGCCCUUAUUACACUGUGAAACCUGAUACUCCUUUUCAAAAUAUUAGUAUCUAUCAACAGAUUUAAAAAUUAGGAACACUGAUUUAAUCAAAACAAACCUCAUACAGAGUCAUGCAUGUGAAUCACUAAGACUAGAGGAGUGCCUGAAUUACAUUAUGUCUCAUAUUUGGAAGCAUAAGGCUGCUGAUCGAGCUGCUAGAUUUAGUUGCCGUUGUGGAUGCAGUUGUCUUCAGUGUUUUGUGUCUGGGUGCAGCUCGAUGCCGCAGUGAAGUCCCCCAGACAUCCUAAACGAGAGCUGUCACAUAAGACAGCCUUUCUCUUAGACGCAAUGCAAAACAAUUUCCUUUGAACAGACAUCCUAAAAUAGAAGAGCAGAGAUGUUAUGACUGACUUGACCAUGUUUUGUUUCACUUUCCAUUCAUUCUGUUCUCUUGAAAAGCAAGAGCGAGCUCAAGGCCGACACAACCGGCAGAUGAACUCGACUUUCUCAGUGAGAAAAGCAGCUCUAAAGUUUUUCAAUUACAUUCAUUUAUCUUCAAAACUAAUCGGCAAAAAAACAGAAAAAUCUUGGACAUUUAAACCACUGACUGUUCUAAUACAUAUCUGCAAGGAAACGCUUGCAACAUUGUUUGGAAAAGAGGAUUUAAUAGGCUGAUUAUAAUUACUGUGAGGCUGAGGCUGCAUCAAUCUGUGACAUGCAGUAUAAACACAGGAAGUUAAUCUCAAAACAAAUAAGAAGACUCGUCUUAUUAAUGAUAACAGGACAAAAAAAGAACAUCACAGAGACGCUGUCAGUGUGUCUGACUCUGAAUAUUCUCCUCCCACAGAUGCCUGUCUGCAUGGACGAACAGACCCAGUGAGUAAUGGUGUUUUCUCCUCCUUCUCUCCUCUGCAGAGCAACAAUCCAUUAAAAUUGUGUCCAUUACAUUCCUCCACCUCCGUGUCUUUCAACUCACCUGUCUGGGGACGAAUACCGUUGGGCAGAGGAAAUUGAGCAAACACCAAAAGAGUCAUUUUUCAAGGCAGCAUAUUCAUUUAGAGAGAAACACACACAUGAACACACACGGGAAAUGUUUUACAGCCGCAGAGUGAGUAUGCAGAGCAGACAGAAAAUGGAUGCAAAGACAUGAGUGUGAAAGCCUGACAUGAGUGUGAAAGCCUCUUUCCCUGUCCAUAUGGUUAUGUUGUCUGUAUGGCUGACAAAUGAAGCUUUACAGCCUUAAAAACUGCAGUUCUUUAAGUGUCCACUAGAGGUGGUGUCUAAAAGUGAGUCAGUCCCCAUGGAGACCCAUGAUAAAACUUUAAAGUAGAAACAUACAGUUUUACAGCCUGGUACAAAACAGUUUGGGUGUAAAUACAAUAUUUCUUAAUAAAUGAAAACUGUGCUGGACUGAAUUUAUAGAGAACCUGCCGGUUUUGACCAUAGACUGUAUAUACUAUGGACAACUUGGUUCCACCUUCCGCCUGUAUACGGAUUUGGAGCAAAAACGCUCCCGGUAAUUCUGUGUUUUUUCCUAUAUUUCCUGAAACCAACAUUGCGCAGUAGCGUUGUACGCAUUCGGCGGGAGAGUCGCCGAGAGUCGCUGUGAUGACCCUCGACUCAAACAGCUACGCAGGUGAGCUACGCAAUCCUUGUACACCCAUAGGCUGUAUCAGGUGUCAAUCAUAGAAAACAUGAACUCCCUAAUAACUUUUAAAAACAGAGCUGUACAGAAAAAAGAGGACUUGAGCACAAACCAGUCUUAUAAUAACUCCAUGUCAACUCACAAGCAGGGGGGAGAAAAAUUUAUGUUUGUUGUAAUUAAUCUCUAAAGUUUGUCCACAGCCCCAUAAGCUUUGCUGGCGGAGGCGGGAUUUAUGACCUAUACUGCAGCCCAUCACCAGAGGGUGCUGUUCUCGGAGUCGCUUCCCCCAGCAAGGAGGCAGACGCUGUCCAUUCUUUAUACAGUCUAUGGUUUUGACGAAGUUGAAGCCAACAGUUGUGUUUACUUACAGACUGAAGUCAUUAUUUCCUCUUGAAUUGAAGCAACUUUUGGGCCUCAAAACACCUCUUCACUAUCAAAUGUGUGACGUCACUGAGACUAUGUCCAUGUUUUAUACAGUAUAUGUGAUGGGCUUACGUAAAUUCAACACCCAUUAUGUCAAAGAUUCAUGAAUUUCCUAAAAUCUACAAAGGCCCCGUGCUCUUUCUCAGGUUCAUCCAUCUUUACACAUAAGUCACUGUAUAUACUGUAUAUAUUGACAGGGAUAAACCAGGUAUGCCCUCAUGGUUGCACCAGCUCCAGUCCAUAGUUCCCCGCUGACAUAUCAGGGGGUGAUGCUGGGAAUCUUGUAAGUGCAGCAAUUAGGAUGCAGUCCAGCAGAGCAGUCACAGUGCUUAAGGUCUGCAUAACUUUGACAUGAAGUUGUAUUUUUGAGAAAGUGCACGUAAGGCCAUGUACUUAAGUUUCUGCACAAACUCCUGAUGGGCAGAUGAAGCUUUAUGAAGCUCUGGGGCUUUCUUUGCUGAAAAGAUUCGAAGCUUUGAAGCUUCAGACUCGGCAAACUCAGGGACAUCUGGUGGCUUGUAAAACUAAUGACAGCCCCCCAAAUGCAUUCCCCAGAUUUAGUGUUUUUAAGAGAUAAAAGCUGUAUGUUAUGAAGAAAUACUAUCUGUAUAUCCAUCUAUACACAUCUGUCUCUUAUUCAAAUUUACCAGACUACUGUAGUGCGAGUUUGUUGCAAAUAAUGUAUAAUCUGUGUGUAAUCCAAAAACACUAGUAUGUAUUUGCACAUGUAGGACAUGAGUUAACAUGUUUCAGAGUGAAUGAUGCAGCAGAAAUUUGAUGUAGAAGUAGAAAUCAGGCUUAAUUUGCAUAAAAACCUGGUCACCUCUAUCACCUGAACGACUAAUCCAGUAACUCAAAGCUGCUUCUCAAUGAAAAAAGUCCACCUGUGCUGCUCUCUGUAUCGCCAGACAAACGCCGUUUUGGGGCAGAAGGAGAGACCAAAUGUUUUCUUGUGGGUUUCAUGUGUCUGCAUCCCAAACAAGCAGGCUUAAAGAAGUCAGACACACCGUUUGACAUUCAUCUCAUACCGCCUCCUCCUCAUCCUGUCUCCUCUCUCCUCCGCCUCCUCCUCCUCCUCUUUCUGCUGCUGCUCACAGUGUCCUGAUAAGCACUCUGCAGACAGCCUCCCUACACUGCAGACACCGAGAGGGAUGAGCCUCAUCUCUCUCUGUCCAACACACAACUGUUCACACGAGAUACAAGGAAAAAAACAAACACUCUGAUUUUAAGUCUCUCUAAACACUUCAUAUUAAAACACCGCAGUGAGGUUUUACACAGAUAUUAGAAGGUUUUAUUCAUGUCAGGGUUUGUUUAAAUAAACAUUUAUAAAAACAGGAAUUGAUGCUUUCUAUUUGAGAGACUCAGCUUCUCUGAAUGUCCUUUUCAUGUUACUAACCUGUUGUAAAUGAACCUCAUUAGUUGGGAGAUGUUCCUCCAGCAGUUUUUUAAGCAUUGCACAACUUUGGACCUGUUUGGUUGUUCCUGGAACAAAUGUUUAGAAACAUCAAAUUUAAAAUCAGAAUGUAUUUUUCACUAAAGAAUGACAUUUUUCAGCUUUUUAAAAAAUACAUAUAUUUUUAUUGAAAAUUUUAUAUAGAUGAACAUACAGAGGGAUCACAAUGGAAAAAAGAAAAAGGAGAAAAAUAUGUAUGUAUAUAAAACCAAAUUAAGCUCAUACAUGAGUUCGCCAACACUGAGGCUGUGCACAAAACAGGAAGAUAAGGUUCACAUGGAUUUGAUCACAAUCACAAAUACAGGAUGGGUGCUAAGUGGUUAUUAAGUGGGCACAGUUUUAAGUUUACCUCAAUGUUUCAACACCGUAUCCCAGACAGAAAAUAAUUUGUCUCUAGGCCCUCUGAGAGUAUAUUUUACCUUCUCUAAUUGUAUGAAUUGUGUCAGGUCACUAAACCACACAGAUACUUUGGGUGGGUUUUUUGAUUUCCAAAGUAAUAAAAUUCUUCUACGUGCAAGCAGCGUCGUAAAAGCAAUUAUGUUUGUAUAAAUUUUCCUUAAUAUUGUAUAUCUCCUAUCUGUGGUACCAAAUAUGGCCAUUGCUGCGUUGGGUUGAAGAUUAAUAGUCAAUGCUUCUGACAACGUUUUAGACAUUUUUCAGUUUUAACGUUUAAUAUGUGGUCUGUUUCCUCUUCUCAGCUCAGCUUUCACUUUGGACAUCCGUCCCAGGGGACAAGACAACUGAGUGGGUAAGACCCUGACUUUUUUCUUGCACAAAAGCACUAAGAUUUAAAAAAAAUACUGCUCUUAAAGGCUAACUGGGAGAACUUGAAGUCAAGUGUUUACUUACUGCAUCAGCCCCACUGGUAACCAAAAUAAUCACUCCUCUUGUGGGCGUUGACGUGCAUUGAUCCAGCUCAUGUUAACCAGCAUUGAUUUCUGCUCCGUUAAUAACAUCAGAGGAGCCGCUUGUCUGUUCUCUGCUGCAGCAGGAGGAUUAUAAUGAUCACUGUCUGUGGGUUUUUGUUUGCCUGAGGGACAAAAUAGACUUGAGGACACAGAGAAAAUUGACCUGCUGAUAAUCAGUGACAGGCUUCAGGUUGGUGGAGGAAUAGGACUUGUUGAUGUCUGUCUGAGCCGAGACAAAAACAGAGUCACUCAGUUAGCUACGCAGGAUGGAAAAUAACAAGGCAAACAAACACGAUCAGCACCAAAAAUAAAAAUAUUGCUCUGUUUUUUCUGCUCUACACUGUAGGGGAGAACAAGAAGAGAGAUACAGCCCUCUCCUAAUGGAUCCUGCAGCAGCGGGAUGAUGCAUUCUGCAGGCAACACUCUCCCCAGAACCUCCUCGCAGGAAGCCGGGUUUACUCUGCCGCUGAAAAAUGGAACACGCUCUGCUUUAGACUCAGCCGGGGGCGAGACUUAAUGCUCCAAAACCAAAAACCAGCCGAGGAGAUCAUGAAACUACUCUGUCAUGAUCUGCCUCUGUGAUGUGUAGCAAAGAGCUUCAUGGUGAGUCAUGCAUCAGAAACAUCACAGACACCAGGAUGUUUGUAGAGAAGUGUACCGAGCAAAUACAGAUGUUUCUAAAGAGAGUACAGAAAGCAUGCAGAGGGGAAGUGUGCAGGAGUAUUUUUGCAGUUUCCUUCAUUUCUUAAUGUAAUUUUGACAUAGUGCAUCUCAAAUGGGCUUUAAGCUGCACAGAUGAGGCAAUAAUCACUGUGGCAAACAAUCUGCAACAGCACAAACAGUCUUCAUGAGGAGAAAUGUGCUGCGAACACAUGCAGCACAUGCAGCAAACCAUUGAAACAACUGCAUGAACGAAAAAGCAAAAGUGCUGCAAACACACAAAUGAUGCAAAGCAAUAUCAGUGAUUUAGAUUAGAAGAAGAGGCAAAUAUUUGAAACCUUCCAAUAACACUGUCGAGGUGUGUCGGCCAAGACAGCCAAACAAGGUCCAGAGCCUUUAGCAUUUCAGGGCAUAUUCAGACUCCUGACACCUGCCAUGGGACAAAUAAUCCAAGUUAAAUAGUUAAAGUUAUUUCAGUCUCAAAUUUGUUUGUAGGAAGUUGAUCUUUGAAGCUGUAAGCACUGACAGCUGCAUGUUUAUGGUGGAUACGUGCAUUAGACUGAUGCAAAAUGUUUACCUGGCAUCUGAUGGAUAAAGAGCGUGCAGACCACGUUUCUUCACUGCGACAGUUUCUCUAACAAGCUUGUAAUUCUGGUGCAGACUUGCAACCCUAACCCUGAAGAGGCUGAAGAUAUCUGCUUUGACUCAAACACAGAGGAUGUAGACAUGUUGAUGAAUGAAAAUGAGGACCCUUUUCACCUGAUCCUGUUGUUCAAAUAGAUAUUCACCUUAUUUCUCAGAUGAAUUUGUUUUAUAAUGUUGUUUUGUUGUGAUAACACUUUAAAUUGCCCUAAGGUGAAGAAAAAUAAAUG